rnacentral:rRNA from 1 species
UACGAAGGGGGCUAGCGUUGCUCGGAAUCACUGGGCGUAAAGCGCACGUAGGCGGAUUGCUAAGUCAGGGGUGAAAUCCUGGAGCUCAACUCCAGAACUGCCUUUGAUACUGGCGACCUUGAGUCCGGGAGAGGUGAGUGGAACUGCGAGUGUAGAGGUGAAAUUCGUAGAUAUUCGCAAGAACACCAGUGGCGAAGGCGGCUCACUGGCCCGGUACUGACGCUGACGGUGCGAAAGCGUGGGGAGCAAACAGGGAUUAAGAAACCC